rnacentral:siRNA from 1 species
UAGAGGACAUCACUACUUCAC